GUAACAAGGUUUCCGUAGGUGAACCUGCGGAAGGAUCAUUACCGAGUGCGGGCUGCCUCCGGGCGCCCAACCUCCCACCCGUGACUACCUAACACUGUUGCUUCGGCGGGGAGCCCCCCAGGGGCGAGCCGCCGGGGACCACUGAACUUCAUGCCUGAGAGUGAUGCAGUCUGAGCCUGAAUACAAAUCAGUCAAAACUUUCAACAAUGGAUCUCUUGGUUCCGGCAUCGAUGAAGAACGCAGCGAACUGCGAUAAGUAAUGUGAAUUGCAGAAUUCAGUGAAUCAUCGAGUCUUUGAACGCACAUUGCGCCCCCUGGCAUUCCGGGGGGCAUGCCUGUCCGAGCGUCAUUGCUGCCCUCAAGCCCGGCUUGUGUGUUGGGUCGUCGUCCCCCCCGGGGGACGGGCCCGAAAGGCAGCGGCGGCACCGUGUCCGGUCCUCGAGCGUAUGGGGCUUUGUCACCCGCUCGAUUAGGGCCGGCCGGGCGCCAGCCGGCGUCUCCAACCUUAUUUUUCUCAGGUUGACCUCGGAUCAGGUAGGGAUACCCGCUGAACCUAAGCAUAUC
rnacentral:misc_RNA from 1 species